rnacentral:rRNA from 1 species
GAUUGAGUGGCGGACGGGUGAGUAACGCGUGGGUAACCUACCCUGUACAGGGGGAUAACAGUCAGAAAUGACUGCUAAUACCGCAUAAGACCACAGCACCGCAUGGUGCAGGGGUAAAAACUCCGGUGGUACAGGAUGGACCCGCGUCUGAUUAGCUGGUUGGUGAGGUAACGGCUCACCAAGGCGACGAUCAGUAGCCGGCUUGAGAGAGUGAACGGCCACAUUGGGACUGAGACACGGCCCAAACUCCUACGGGAGGCAGCAGUGGGGAAUAUUGCACAAUGGGGGAAACCCUGAUGCAGCGACGCCGCGUGAGUGAAGAAGUAUUUCGGUAUGUAAAGCUCUAUCAGCAGGGAAGAAAAUGACGGUACCUGACUAAGAAGCCCCGGCUAACUACGUGCCAGCAGCCGCGGUAAUACGUAGGGGGCAAGCGUUAUCCGGAAUUACUGGGUGUAAAGGGUGCGUAGGUGGUAUGGCAAGUCAGAAGUGAAAACCCAGGGCUUAACUCUGGGACUGCUUUUGAAACUGUCAGACUAGAGUGCAGGAGAGGUAAGCGGAAUUCCCGGUGUAGCGGUGGAAUGCGUAGAUAUCGGGAGGA